rnacentral:lncRNA from 1 species
UCCCCACAGAAGCCACCCCCUCCCAAGCCACCGCCAUCCCUUGCCUGAGCUCACUACAGUGGCCGCCCAAGUCUCCAGCCUACAACUGACUCGUGAUCCACCCAACACCCAGGGUAGAGCGCUGGCCCCUCUGCCUGGCAUCCUUUGCGGCGUCCACCCUCCUUAGAGGAGACUACACGUGAGCCUUCCUAAAAAGCUCGGCCCAGCAAGGCCUCUGCUUGCUGUCAGCGAGGCCACUCUGCUGCCCCUGGGCUCCACAGUCCAGCUACACGGAGCUUCUUCAGGUACUCACUUGAUUUGGGGCUUUCACGGCACAAUUCUGCAACCUCACACCCACCCCCAUCCCUCCUUUAGCUCCCAACUUCUUCACUGAGGUUUGGGCAUCCAGUCGACUCUUUCAGUUCAUGUGCAUCCACAGCGCCCUCUACUGCCGCUUCUGAAGCACAGCACGCGGGGCCCCCCACACUUCAAACUGCAAAAGAGGCCCAGGUUGGGGGGUGUUAUUUCCUGGACCACGCUGUACCAGUAUAGCAAAAUUAAUCGGCAAAGUUUGUAUAUAUACGUCUGGUUUAUGAUGCUGGAGAUCAAACCUAGGGCCGCAUGCAUCCUAAUCAUGCAUUCAACCACUGACCUAUACCCUCAUCUCCCAGUAUAUCUUUUUUUUUUUUUCCUUUGGUGGGGGGGUACUAGGGAUUGAACUCUGGGGCACUCAGCCACUGAGUCAAUCCCCAGCCAUAUUUUGUGUUUAAUUAUUUAAAGACAGGGUUUCACUGAGAUGCUUAGCGCCUCGCAGUUGCUGAGGCUGGCUUUGAACUUGCAAUCCUCCUGUCUCAGCCUCCUGAGCCACUGGGAUUACAGGCUUUCGCCACUAAGCACGGCUCCCAGCUUAUCUUUUUCUAAAGCUAGAUGCAGUGGCCCUUGCCUGUGAUCCCAGCAACUUGGGAGGCUGGUAAAGGAUGAUUGCAAGUUCAAUGCCAACCUGGGCAAUUUAGCAAGACCCUGUCUCAAAAAAAGGGCUGGGUAAAGACCCCUGGACUCAAUUCGCACUACAAAAAAAUCGUUUUGUUUUGUUGUUUUAAAGGAAAAUGAAUCUAUCAUGUAAAGACUGGGAGAAGGAAAU